GGGGAUUUGGCUCAGUGGUAGAGUGCUUGCCUAGGAAGCGCAAGGUCCUGGGUUCAGUCCCCAGCCCCG
rfam:Rattus norvegicus chromosome 18, whole genome shotgun sequence.